UGGGCUCAGAUGCAGGACUUAGUUCAUUGGUGAGCAUUGAGCCACACAGGAAUUGUUCACAGUGGCUAAGUUCAGUACCUGAC
rnacentral:pre_miRNA from 12 species